rnacentral:rRNA from 1 species
GACGAACGCUGGCGGCGUGCCUAAUACAUGCAAGUAGGACGCAGUUGCGAACGGGAGAGUAACGCGUAGGUAACUACCUAUUAGAGGGGGAUAACUAUUGGAAACGAUAGCUAAUACCGCAUACUAGUAGAUGGACCUGCGUUGUAUUAGCUAGUAGGUCGGGUAAUGGCCUACCUAGGCAACGAUACAUAGCCGGCCUUGGAGGGUGAGCGGCCACCCGGGGACUGGGACACGGCCCAGACUCCUUCGGGAGGCAGCAGUAGGGAAUCUUCGGCAAUGGGGGGAACGCUGACCGAGCAACGCCGCGUGGGUGAAGAAGGUUUUCGGAUCGUAAAGCUCUGUUGUUAAGGAAGCGGUACUUAACCAGAAAGGGACGGCUAACUACGUGCCAGCAGCCGCGGUAAUAC